rnacentral:rRNA from 1 species
CCAGACUCCUACGGGAGGCAGCAGUGAGGAAUAUUGGUCAAUGGGCGCGAGCCUGAACCAGCCAAGUAGCGUGAAGGAUGACUGCCCUACGGGUUGUAAACUUCUUUUAUAAAGGAAUAAAGUGAGGCACGUGUGCCUUUUUGUAUGUACUUUAUGAAUAAGGAUCGGCUAACUCCGUGCCAGCAGCCGCGGUAAUACGGAGGAUCCGAGCGUUAUCCGGAUUUAUUGGGUUUAAAGGGAGCGUAGAUGGGUUGUUAAGUCAGUUGUGAAAGUUUGCGGCUCAACCGUAAAAUUGCAAUUGAUACUGGCAGUCUUAAGUACAGUUGAGGUAGGCGGAAUUCGUGGUGUAGCGGUGAAAUGCGUAGAUAUUAGGAGGAACACCGGCGGCGAAGGCGGCCUGCUGGACCGUAACUGACGUUGAGGCUCGAAAGCGUGGGGAGCAAACAGGAUUAGAUACCCCUGUAAUU